UGCCGGAUCGUCUAGUGGUAGGAUACCAGGUUUUGACCCUGGAAAGUGAGGUUCGAAUCCUCGUCCGGCAACCA
rnacentral:tRNA from 1 species